rnacentral:lncRNA from 1 species
AGCACUUGCUGUCGGUGAUGACAGAGCACAGCUCAGCUCAGCCAGAAGGGAGGAAAUCGUGUGAAUCUCGUCCCUAAGCAAGAAAGAGAAAUGGGUCGGGGCAGCCUGGGAGAGUUCUAGAACCUGGAGGGGAACUGACUGUGCCUAGCCUAGGUAAAUGCUUCAAACAUGAGGAGUCCUGUCCCUACUGCCCCUAAGACCAGAGACAUUUUCUCUCUGAGGUCUGAGCCCAGCUAUCGCUGAAUGGCCUGAUUCUCAUGAAAAUGUGGAGAUAGAAAACAUCUGGGGUGGCUGUGGUUGCCAGGCAACAACCAGCCAUUCACUCUCUUGCCAGAAUCAAGGAGGCUGUCUGAUGCUGACAGAGAUAGCUGCAUCUGAGGCCUGGAGACCUAGAUUUUGGUUCUGAUUUGCUGUGUGGUCUGGGCAAGUCCCUGCCUUUCUCUGAGCCUUCAUUUCCCAUUUUUUAUGUAAAGAGCAGUCAGACUUACAAGUGGCAAUAUGAGCAGGCAUCAGAUGGUCAGAAUUAGAGUGAUAGUGUGGCACAGGCAGAGGACCAGGGCAGGUCAUGGGUGAGGGAAGACUCAGUUCUCCUUUCCAUCCUGCCCUAGGCUAUCCUGACUCUGGUUACUAGCUAGGGGCAAGGGACAUUUCCUUUCCCACCCUGAGCUAAUUCAGGCCACCCAGACUCCAUCCCAGGCUCACCCUUGCAGCUCAGAGUCUAGGAAUUGUCUUCAUACCCACAAAUUAGCACAGCCACCACCUACUUGGCCAACUUUUCCCCAUGGGGAAUUUCCUCAGUUCCUGCUGAAGUGAAGCUACCCAGCUUUGGGUGUUUCCCUGGACACCCAUCAGAGGACCUUCUGACAGUUUGCAGAGAUUGCAUUGAUGGUAAACCCUGAGGAUGGUGUGUUUCGCAGCAAUCAGCAGAGUUAACAUUUUCUAUUUCACAUCCAUUACAAAAUAUGACAGAAGCUGCCAUUUGCUGGGCCUGGCACAGCCUCAAAUGCUUUAUGUCUGUAAUCUCAUUUAAUCCUCAUACAAUCCAGGGGGAUAGGAAUGUAGGUCCUAUUGUACAGAUGAGGAAAUGGAGCCUCAGAGAGGAGAAGUGAUUUGCCCAAGGUCCCAGUAAAUGGUGCAGGCAGGACUCCCACUCAGGGCCACAGUCUGGGGUUUAACCACUACAGGACACUGCUUCCUCACAGUCCCACCAGACAGCAUCAGAGCUGGAAGGGCUCCACCUGCUCCCAACUUUACAGAUGGACAAAUCGAGGCCCAGAGGGAAGAAGUGACUGGCCCAAGGUCAUGUAACAAGUCAAUGCUAGAGCAGAUUCUAGGACUGCUCUGCUAAAAGGCUCACCACACCAUUCCAGAAAACAAAAAGUGCCUCAGGCAGAAGCAGUGGAUAUACCAGAAAUCUCAUUUUAAGAAAUCCAUAGCAUUUCCUAGGAAGUCAAACAGUGCAUGAGGUUCACAAGACAAGGAUCUUGCAGAGGUUCUUGAGGUUAGGGCAGAGUCCCAGCAUUCCUCUAGGCAGUAAGGGGCCUGUGGGUGUCACUCUUUUGGUCCUACAGAUGAAGCUGCAACUCCAGCUACUGGCGGAGGUGAUAUGUAUGUCCAGAAUGUUCUCGACUGCCUUGCCUAGCUAAUGCCUACCUGUCUUCAAGUGUUAGUUAGAAGUCACUUCCUCUGGGAAGGCCUCUGUGAACCCCUAAGCUUGCCCCACUGUAGAUUCUCAUGGCCCUAGCUCUUUUCCAUAAGAGCACUGUCCUCGGUUUGCCCUGUGGACUCACAUCAGAGGCACAUUUAACUAACACCAGCUUUACAACUUAUCCUCCAACCACCCAACUCCAAAGAUGCCACCCCAGAAUUUGGUAUUAUCCUCACAAAACCAAACUCACCUUUUAGCAUGCGCUAAGCUGAUAAUGCUGAAUAUAGAAACAGAUUGGAGUCACCCCUGCAGAUACCAGGAGCACUCCUGAAUUCUCUGCUCAAUCUCAAUGCAUCCCUAGAGAUGGGGUCAUUUUCUUAAAGGCAGAGAGGCUUCAAUGUCCAGGUAUCUCAAGACAGCCUUUCCUUCAGUUACUUAUUUUAGCAUACAAAAGAAUUUGAAGAUGGAAGAGGGGACCACCAGCCAAGGAAUGCAGCCCAAGAAGCUCGAAAAGUUAUGAAAACCAAUUCUCAUUGAGCAUACAAAAUAAUUGAGCAUACAAAAGAAUUAUUGUGCAGUACAGGUAAUUUAAGAGCUUUAUUUUAUUUUAUUUUUUGAGACGGAGUCUCGCUCUGUUGCCCAGGCUGGAGUGCAAUGGCACGAUCUUGGCUCACUGCAACCUCUGCUUCCCAGGUUCAAGCAAUUCUCCUGCCUCAGCCUCCCGAGUAGCUGGGAUUACAGGCGCCCAUCACCAUGCCCAGCUAAUUUUUAUAUUUUUAAUAGAGACGGGGUUUCACCGUGUUGACCAGGCUGGUCUCAAACUCCUGACUUCAGGUGAUCCGCCCACCUUGGCCUCCCAAAGUGCUGGGAUUACAGGCAUGAGCCACUGUGCCUGGCCUAGAAUCUUUGUUUCUGUUUAUUAAUUGAGAAAAGGAAGUAACCAUUUUAGUUAAACAUGAACUUCAGAGUCAGAAAGAUCUUGGUUCAACUUCUUCCCUGAGAAAACACCAAAGUGCAGAUGACUGGUGCAGAGAGAGGACUCAGAGGCCCUUGGGGCCCUGGAAUGGGAGGUCAUAGUGGUUUCCACGGAGGCUUUGGCAGUGGCAUUGGGGCCUGGAUAGUGGUUGGGGUCAGGGCCUGGGCCAUGGAGCUUGCAGAGGCAAGGAUGAAGAUGAGGAAUGGAUGCCUGUCACCAAGUUGGGCUACCUGGUCAAGGACAUGAAGAUCAAGUCCCUGGAGGAAAUCUAGCCCUUCUCCUUGACCAUCGAGGAGUCUGAGAUCAUUGACUUUUUCCUGGGGGCAUCUCUCAAGGAUGAGGUUUUGAAGACCACGCCCGUGCAAAAGCAGACCUGCGCUGACCAGCAUACCAGGUUCAAGAAACCUGUGUUUGCAUUUCAGAUGUCUCUUAACUUACUGAGGAAAUCAUUACCAACCUCACUGGGUGGACAGGAGGAUGAACAGGAGAACUUCAGCAAAUUGUAGUUCUUGUUCUAUCCCUGAACUAACCCAACAUUCAAAGUCACUCAUCUGAUGCUUCCCACCUGGCACCCUGCACUUGUAUGUAUUUUUCCAUUCAUAUUCAUUUCUGCCUCUUCAUCUAGAUUACACAGCAACAAUGUAAAUUAAUGACUACUCAAGAGUCAGACAGACAUGAGUUCAAAUCCUACCUUUGCUACUUACUACAUGUGUGUCCUGAGGCAAGAUAAAGCCUCUGAGCUCAGUUUCUCUGUCAGUAAAAAGGACCUAUCUCCUAGUGUUAUAGGAUUAAAUCAGAUGAUACAUGUAAAAUCUUUAGCUUGGGGGUCUGUCACGUAACUGAGCAAUGGGUGACUAUGUUGUAAUUAUUACACCCUCCUGACAUGCACACGGUAGGAGAAAAAUCUAACCUGGGGCAGUAGAUAGCAGCAGAAAGAGCAGGAGCUUUGGAGUCAUUCAGAUGCAAGCUCUGUAAAUUACUUGCUAUGUAGCCUAGAGAACAAGCCAUUCAAACUUCAGUUUCUCCAACUGUAAAAGGGGAAAUAAGAGUGUGGGUCUCAGAGAUGUUGCAAGUAUCACUGCAAUGACAUAACUGAUGCAUCUGACCCAUAAGACUGCCUAAGCGUGCCUGGCCUCGAAGAAUUGGGCAUAAGUUUGACACAUGGAAGAAAUGAGGAGGGGUUGGCAAAAAAACCAAGAAACAUACCUUUGGUUUUGACCACACCGAAGGAGCAUCCAACCCCAAAAGGGAGGCAAGGAAAUAAAGUUAUUUAAAUAAAAUAACAAACCCAGGUAUUAUAGAUGUUUUAAAACAUUACAUUGAUGCAAAAGCGAGUAGUUUUGAAAUAUUUAACUACUUUAGUUAAAAGUGAGGAGUUUUAAAAGGAAACAUUAUUUCAGUCAUGCAACAUAAAGCACAUAAAAUACUGAGUUACGCAGGUAUAACAAAGUAUAGCAGGAAGAAAACAAACAUUACUGAGCAGGCACUAGGCACUAACCCCAGGUUAGGGAUUUUACAUGUAAGAUUGCAAACAUCUGCCAGUGGGAGCCAAGCAGGCAAUGCAACUGUAUGAAAUGAGUCAAAUGUAAGCAAUGGGCAGUGAAGAGGACCGUGCAGGGGACAGGAAGACACACAGACCAUCCAAAGCAGCAAUGCCACACAACUGCAAGUGACUGCUGCCACACUGGAAUGGAGGCAUCACUGCCAGGUCUUCUGGUUUCUCAAGAGAAACUGGAGCUCUGGAUUUUUAAGAGAAAUUGCAUAACCGAAAACGCUCUGUGGUCAACCUACUAUUUUGAAAGCUGACAAAGAGAAUAAAUCAAGCAUUUAUCCUGA